GGAGGGGGAGUGGGAGGGAGAGGACAGGAGAGUCAGGAGAGGGGGAGUUCAGCCAUGGCUUCAGAGGUGGUCCCUAAAUGGGAACCAGCAGCACCCUGCUUGAAGUAAUUUGCUCCCCUCCAGAGACCACCUAGGAAGGUACUCUGAGUUCUACAAUGGCAGAGUUCUUCCGGAACAAUUGGCUGCGUGCAGCUCCAUCCUCUGAGUCAAGAAUCAACCCGGAAUCUUAGCAACAGAGCUGAUGGGUGGGCGGACCUUAUUCCGACUUGGUAGCUUUUAUGGCUAUGUCAGCCUGUCUUCCCCCAUUUAGAAAUCACCUCGGCUCCAGCCUUCCUUCUAGAUAAUCCUUCAACAUCCACGCAUGACUCAAGCCAAGUAUUUGUUGCUAUUCAAGCUACACCGUCCCCAGACUGUCUUCCAGCAGGAGUCCAACCUUUCGAGGGGAGAAGGAGCACUCACAAGUAAACAGUCACUGCCUGCCUGGGCGAUGGAUACAGAAUGCCACUCAGAGCAAUUUGGUAACAGUACUCCAUCCGGAGAAUCCAGAAUGUCGAAUAUGUCGCCGCGGUCAACUUUAUCAACCCAAAUAGCCACACGAGUCAACUUUUCUUCCUGUUCUUGAGGUGGUUCUGAACUGUUGAGGUCACUGUCACCCCCUGUACACUUCAGGGACUCCAUGAGCGUUUGAAUUACCUGAGCUUAGAAUACAGGGUGUGUGGUCCAGCCUCAGUGAGUGCUACUGAGACCCCACACGCAUUCUAACCCUGUCGACAACCCCUGGAGAUUCUGUUGUGGGCUAAGUGGGCUGGCCGCUCCAAGUUGCCCUUCUAGGUGGUGGGAAAAGAGAGAGUUAUGGGAGAGAAGAGUGGGAGGUGGGGCUGGACCCAGCCAGCCUCACAGGCACUUUCUCCUAGGGCUUGGCCAGGGAGUAACCUAGAAGCAGCCCUUCCUGCCUGCAGGGAGCGUUUAGCAGUGAAUCACCAGCCUCCCCUAAUCCCCAGAUCCCUUUUAAGUUCGGUGGGAUUCUCCUUCCUCCAGCCAGGUAAAACACCUGGGUGCCAAGGCCUCAGGCCCCGGUGCUACCCUGGAGAGUGUCAACGUUUGCAUUCUGGAAACCUUGUCAUUGAAGCUUCCACACUGCCCCUGCCUACGUUAGAGAGAGAGUGCUUGAAUCCCUCUCUGAAGAAGCUCUAGGGGUUGAAGCAUGCUGGGGUUAGGACUCAGCAUCCUGGGACUAGCCCAUAGUGACUGCAGGGCUUUACCCCCACAGCCUACUGCUAAACUUGCCUAGAUGGGUACCCUCUCUAACCUGCUUCCUCCAAGGCCAGAUGGGAGGAACCAAGCAAGACUAUGUUACAGAAUGUAUUUGAAAGCAAAACUUCCCAAGUGGUGGUGGUGGUGGUGGUGGUGGUGGUGGUGGUGGUGGUGGUGGUGGUGGUGUUUUGAAAUCCUGCAAAUAUCCCCAGAAUGUCUGUGCUGGCAGGACUGUGAAGGCUGCUGGCUCCAUGGCUGAAAAGAGAGGCAGCCCCUGACAGCAGAGGGUUUAGGGAAAGGAGAGUCUCGGAAGCAGCCCCUAGCCUGUGUUCUCACAUUGCACCAGAGCGAACUUAGUCUGGCACCAGUCCCUGCUCCUCCUGUCUGCCCUCUGUUUCCUGGAGACCUUGAGGAAGGGAGUGUUCAUUUAUAUCAGCCGAGAUGUAUCAAAUUGGCAUCUGGGAGAAAAUGACUCAGGGCUGGAGAUGUGGCUUUCACAAGACCCUGACUUUGAUUUUCCUACCCACCAGCACUUCAAAAACAAACAAAACCUGCCGCCAAUAAAGUAGCAUGAGUAUUUUCCUUCCUUCCCUCUCUUCCUACCCAUCUCUCUUUUCCUUCCUUCUUUCCUUCCUUCUCUCUCUUCCUAUUUCUCCUUCCUCCUUCCUUCCUUUUCUUUCUUCGUAUCUAUCUCUCUUUCCUUCCUCCUUCCUCCUUCCUUCUUCCUUCCUUCUUCCUUCUUUCUUUCCUUCCUUCCCUCUUUCCCCAAGGUCUCACUAUGUAGCCCUGGCUGCCCUGGAACUCACUACAGCAGUGUUCUCAACCUUCCUAAUGCUGCAACCCUUAAAUACAGUUAGUCAUGUUGUUG